rnacentral:rRNA from 1 species
GACGAACGCUGGCGGCGUGCUUAACACAUGCAAGUCGAACGGAAAGGCCCUGCUUUUGUGGGGUGCUCGAGUGGCGAACGGGUGAGUAACACGUGAGUAACCUGCCCUUGACUUUGGGAUAACUUCAGGAAACUGGGGCUAAUACCGGAUAGGAGCUCCUGCUGCAUGGAGGGGGUUGGAAAGUUUCGGCGGUUGGGGAUGGACUCGCGGCUUAUCAGCUUGUUGGUGGGGUAGUGGCUUACCAAGGCUUUGACGGGUAGCCGGCCUGAGAGGGGGACCGGCCACAUUGGGACUAAGAUACGGCCCAGACUCCUACGGGAGGCAGCAGUGGGGAAUAUUGCACAAUGGGCGGAAGCCUGAUGCAGCAACGCCGCGUGCGGGAUGACGGCCUUCGGGUUGUAAACCGCUUUCGCCUGUGACGAAGCGUGAGUGACGGUAAUGGGUAAAGAAGCACCGGCUAACUACGUG